UGUCCCAGGUGUGUCUCAGCUGUCCCCAGGUGUCCCCAGGUGUCCCCAGGUGUCCCCAGGUGUGUCCCAGGUGUGUCCCAGGUGUGUCCCAGGUGUGUCCCAGGUGUGUCCCAGGUGUGUUUUUGAUGUCCCCAGGUGUCCCCAGCUGUCCCCAGGUGUCCCCAGGUGUCCCAGGUGUGCCAGGUGCGCUCACCUGCGGGACCAGGUUGCGGAAGCUGGCGAUGAUGUUGGUGCUCUUGAACUCCUGGUAGUACCCGAAGCACCCGGUGACGACCACGACGGCGAUGAGAGCCACGGCCAGGUAGAGCUGCAGGUGAGGCCAGGUGAGAGCGGGCCUGGGC
rnacentral:lncRNA from 1 species